rnacentral:rRNA from 1 species
AGUGAACGCUGGCGGUAGGCCUAACACAUGCAAGUCGAACGGCAGCACAGUAAGAGCUUGCUCUUACGGGUGGCGAGUGGCGGACGGGUGAGGAAUACAUCGGAAUCUACUUUUUCGUGGGGGAUAACGUAGGGAAACUUACGCUAAUACCGCAUACGACCUACGGGUGGAAGCAGGGGAUCUUCGGACCUUGCGCGAUUGAAUGAGCCGAUGUCGGAUUAGCUAGUUGGCGGGGUAAAGGCCCACCAAGGCGACGAUCCGUAGCUGGUCUGAGAGGAUGGUCAGCCACACUGGAACUGGGACAAGGGCCAGGCUCCUGAGGGAGGGAGCAGUGGGGAAUUUUGGGCAACGGGGGGAAACCUUGUCCAAUCAUACCGGGUGGGUGAAAGAAGCCUUCCGGUUGUAAAGCCCUUUUGUUGGGAAAGAAAAGCAGCAGGUUAAUACCCCGCUGUUCUGACGGUACCCAAAGAAUAAGCACCGGCUAACUUCGUG